UAGUCAUAUGCUUGUUUCAAGGACUUACCCAUGCAUGCCUCAAAAUCACUGUAUUCAGCAGGAAUCUGCGCAUGGCUCAUUACAUCAAACGUAAUCUGCCGCAAUAAUUGUGCGGUUUAUCCGUAUCAUUGGAUAACUUGGCAAAACGCCAAGCUAAUACAUGAACCAACCGGGCGCCUCCUCUUUUGCGGGGCGCCCAGCGAAUGAAUGACAUUAAAACCAACGCCCUCACGGGCAGUAACACCUAGCAGUGUUGGCUCAAUUCAUUCCGUGCGAAAGCCGGUUUACCGGCGUCUUUUGACAAACAACUGCCCUAUCACCUAAAUGGCAGUGUAGUGAACUGCCAUGGCGUUGACGGGAGCGGGGGAUUAGGGUUCGACUCCGGAAAGGGAGCCUGAAAAAUAGCUACCACUUCUACGGAGGGCAGCAGGCGCGCAAAUUGCCCAAUGUCAAAAAAAACGAUGAGGCAGCGAAAAAAAAUAAAGUAGUCAGUUCAUUUUAUGUUCUGUCUUUUCAAUGGGGAAUAUUUAAUGCCAUCCAAUAUCAAGAAACAAUU
rnacentral:rRNA from 1 species